GUCUCUGGUUGGUGAUCCCUCUCUUGUGGAGUUUUCCCUGUGAGUCUGCAUCUUCAGAGAUGGAUCUGCACUGUGGGUCUUGCCUUCUGCCUUGCUGAUGAGAGAGCAUUGCAUGUUUGAGGAGGCAGGUCCUUCUCCCUGAACCACGCUCCAUGCAGGCCUGAGGGAAGCACGCUCUCUGAGCUGAGUUGCUCUGCUGGAAGACAGCUGGUGUGUUUCCCAAAUGAGGGUAUGCCAUGCAUUAGCAUCACAUGGGUCUGUGUGCCUUUCAACUGCAGUCAUGAGAGUAAGAAGAAGAGUUUUGAGAUAUUUAUAUGAGCGUUUUACGCAGUCUCACAAGUGUAACAAAAUAAAAGGAGUAAUUCCCACAGCUGGUUUUGUAGCUCUGGUGUAUGAAGCUGUAUGAUGCCUUCUUUUUUCUGCUCAUCACUGGCUGCUUGUGACUGUCAUCAGCCCAGGUGAAUCUUUGUUUGUGUGAGAACUGUAUAUGUGACCAAAAAUGAAGUUGCAGAAAAACUUACAAUCUUUUAUCUUGCACUGAGAUGCAAAAUAAGCUUUCAUUUUUUCCUGUUACAUCAGAUGUUUUGGGACUGACUUUGUUCAAAUGCAACUUUAAAGAGCUAUGGAGAGAAAAUGCGGCACCAAAGCACAAGGACAAGUUUAGACUACAAUUGUAGGCUUUUGUCAUACAACUCUGAGAACAGUGCUCUGUCUCAUUGUAUUUUUUCACUUUGCUGAGGAAAAGCUGCUGAUCCUUGCUGCCUACCCCUUGUCCCUUUUUCCCUCCCAGCAAACUGGGUUGGUUUUUUUUGGUGAAAGUGUGGUUUUAUACACUCCUGAAAUGAAAAGAGAGACAGCAGGUAGCACCAAGCAGCAAAUUGGAAUGAGUCUAUUUUGUCAUCUUCCUGUUCUCUUAAAUGACAAAAGUUCAGUCUUGAGAAUCCAUAGCUUUUAAAAUUAUGCCUGUGAGGAAAUCUUUUUUUUUGAGAUUUUUACUGUUUCCGCUUACUGUAACCAGGUAUUUUCACCACGAGUAGAACAUAAGUGCAUUUACUCUGUGACUGAUUCUUCUACUUUAAAACAAGCCCUAAUUUUUCAUUAUUCCAGAUGCUCUUCCUCCUACAAUGUUUGCACACUGCGUACUGCAUGUCUGAGUUUGACCCAUUGGUAAUGGUGAUGGUGGCUGCUCUUGUUAUUGUGGUCCUGCUAAAUCAACGGAUAUUAAUUAAGUUAAACAGCACGAGUAGAAUGAAAGUGAACAGAAAAUGUACUGAAAAUACAGUUCUGAGCUCCCAGCUGCACCAAUGAAAGCUGAAGUAGGCACUUUAUCUGCUAGGUUACAGUCUCUGGUUAUCAUCCAUGGGAAAUUAAAGGUAUUAUUUUUAC
ensembl:lncRNA